GACAGAGGUGCCAAGCGUUAGGCGGAAUCACUGGCUUAAAGCGUGUGUAGGCGGACCGUUAAGUACCUUGUGAAAUCCCGCGGCUCAACCGCGGAACUGCUUGGUAUACUGGCGGCCUUGAGCCAUCUAGGGGCGACCGGAACGAAAUGGUGGAGCGGUGAAAGUGCGUAGAUAUCAUUUGGAACGCCAACGGUGAAAACAGGUCGCUGGGGAUGCGCUGACGCUGAGACACGAAAGCCAGGGGAGCAAACGGG
rnacentral:rRNA from 1 species